rnacentral:rRNA from 1 species
AGGGUUUGAUCAUGGCUCAGGAUGAACGCUAGCGGCAGGCCUAAUACAUGCAAGUCGAACGGUAACAUUGGUGCUUGCACCAGAUGACGAGUGGCGCACGGGUGCGUAACGCGUAUGCAACCUACCUUUUACUAGAGUAUAGCCCAGAGAAAUUUGGAUUAAUCCUCUAUAACAUCUUUUAAUUUCAUGAUUUUAAGAUUAAAGUUUUAACGGUAAAAGAUGGGCAUGCGUCCUAUUAGUUUGUAGGUGAGGUAACGGCUCACCUAGACUACGAUAGGUAGGGGCCCUGAGAGGGGGAUCCCCCACACUGGUACUGAGACACGGACCAGACUCCUACGGGAGGCAGCAGUAAGGAAUAUUGGACAAUGGACGAAAGUCUGAUCCAGCCAUGCCGCGUGCAGGAUGACAGCCCUACGGGUUGUAAACUGCUUUUAUACAGGAAGAAACACUCCGACGUGUCGGAGCUUGGCGGUACUGUAAGAAUAAGGAUCGGCUAACUCCGUGCCAGCCGCCGCGGUAAUAC